AGCAGUGGGGAAUUUUGGACAAUGGGCGCAAGCCUGAUCCAGCAAUGCCGCGUGAGUGAAGAAGGCCUUCGGGUUGUAAAGCUCUUUUGUCAGGGAAGAAACGGUGAGGGCUAAUAUCUCUUGCUAAUGACGGUACCUGAAGAAUAAGCACCGGCUAACUACGUGCCAGCAGCCGCGGUAAUACGUAGGGUGCAAGCGUUAAUCGGAAUUACUGGGCGUAAAGCGUGCGCAGGCGGUUUUGUAAGUUUGUCGUGAAAGCCCCGGGCUCAACCUGGGAAUUGCGAUGAAGACUGCAAGGCUUGAAUCUGGCAGAGGGGGGUAGAAUUCCACGUGUAGCAGUGAAAUGCGUAGAGAUGUGGAGGAACACCGAUGGCGAAGCAGCCCCCUGGGUCAGAUUGACGCUCAUG
rnacentral:rRNA from 1 species